UUCUAUCCUUUUUUUUUUUUUUUUAAGCAUCUCUUCAUCUCCACGACCAUGAAAUGUUGGAGAGCCCCAUGGCUUUAAAUGUCUUCUCAUCAAGCAAUAAAUAAUGUCAUGGCCCAUCACCUCAGAGGAAAUGGAGACACCUAAAGGUUUCACUGUGAUGCGUUUAGGGGGAAAUAGUGACAUCAGCAACAUGGUGGAGCGAGCUGUUCCCUGUGUCUCUCCCCCUUCGAACUACAACUGCAAGGACAUUCACUGAUCAGCAGAGGAUACCCACACAGCACAUCAGGAUGCCUGAGAGACCCGAGCAGCUAUAUAUCUGAAGGCAGAUGGACUACCCCUCCAGAGGAGGUGGUGGAAAUAGGUAAGCACCCUCUGGACCCCAGACAGUCCAGCACAUGCACGUGACUACUUCCCUGGCUGGAGCGAUCAUAGCACUGCUGUGGCCCCGAUAGUGGGAGCAUGCCUCAGCACGACGGUGGAAACAGGUGGUAGUAGCCCUGAGCCCCCCAUGUGAUCGCUUCCUUGUCUAGUGGGAGAGCCCUCAGGGCCAUGCAGCCCACAGGGAGCAGUGCAGGCUUGGACCCAGUGGGGAAGCCCUGCCCAUCAAGCACAAUGGCUGCUGCAACCCAGGAGCAGAGGGUGGCUGAGAUCCCAGUCCAGCUGAACAAGCUCCCAGCUGUCGUGAAUGCCCCUAGUACUGCUGUGGCCCCGAAGAGGGGAGCACAACUCCGCAGGACUGUGGGAGCAGGUGGCAGUACCCCUGAGCCCCUGCGUGAUCACUCUCUGGUCCAGUGGGAGAGUCCACAAUCCCACCUGGUCCCAGGGAGUGGCUUUGUUUUGGUCCCAGAGGGGAAGUUCUGCUAACCAAGCACAACGGCUGGUGUGACCUAGGAACAGAGGGCAGCUGAGCUUUGAGUAUGGGCAAACAAACUCCUGGCUGCUGUGAAUGCCCGUAGUACCAUUGUGACCCCAAAGCAGGGAGGACAACUCUGUGGGUCUGUGGGAGCAGGCAGCAGUAACCCUGAGCCCCUCCACAUGACUACUUUCCCAUUUGGUGAGAGACCCCACAGGGCUGCUACAAUCCCAAGGAGUGGCCCAGGUUCUGACAGGCACAGCUGACAAAGAUAGCAGCAGCAAGCUUAGAUUACACAGCUCCUGCCCCUGCCCAAGUGGCAGCAGGUGAAACCUGCAUCCAGAAACUCACUAUGUGCCGGCACAAAUCCACUCCAUCAAAUGGCAUAAAGAAAUAUAUUAAUAUGCCGGACCAGGAGGAAAAAGACAAUCACCCAGAAACCAAUUCUGAAAGCACAGAAAUCUAUGAUGUAAAUGACAAAGAAUUCAAGAUGGCCAUCACAGGAAAACUCAACAAGCUACUAGAGAAUUCUGAAAGACAGUUCAGUGAAAUCAGGAACCAAAUUACUGAACAGAGGGAAUUCUUUACGAAAGAGAUCGAAACUAUAAAGAAAAACCAAACAGAAUUGUUAGAGAUGAAAAACAUAAUGGAUGAGGUAAAGAAAAAUCUGGAGUCCUUAAACAACAGAGCUGACAAUAUGGAGGAUAGAAUUAGCAAUCUGGAGGAUAGGAACACAGAAAUGCUUCAGAUGGAGGAGAGAGAACUUAGACUAAAAAGAAAUGAAGAAAUUCUCCAAGAAAUAUCUGACUCAAUUAGGAAGUGCAACAUAAGGAUUAUAGGUAUUCCAGAGGGAGAAGAGAGGGAAAAAGGAGCAGACAGCUUGAUAAUAACUGAGAACUUCCAAAACCUAGAGAAGGAGCUGGAAUUACAUGUAAAAGAAGCCAACAGGACUCCUAAUUACAUCAAUGUAAAAAGACCUUCUCCAAGGCAUAUAUUAGUGAAGCUGACAAAAGUCAACGUUAAAGAAAAAAUAUUAAGGGCAGCAAGGUGGAAGAGAAUAACCUACAAAGGAAGCCCUAUCAUGCUUUCAGCGGAUUUUCAGCAGAAACCUUACAGGCUAGGAGAGAGUAGAAUGAUAUAUUCAAAAUUUCAAAAGACAAAAACUUUCAGCCAAGAACACUAUAUCCAGUUAAAAUAUCCUUCAGACAUGAUAGAGAAAUAAAAACUUUCCCAGAUAAACAAAAGCUGAGGGAGUUCAUUGCUGCAAGAACCCCCGCUAAAGAUUUGAUCAAGAAAGCCCUCAUACCUGAAAAAACAGAAAGAAAGGAUUUACAAAGCCUUGAGCAAGCAGGUAAACAGGCAGACAAAAUCAGAAAAUUGCAACUCUCUAUCAGAACAGAUUAGCAAACACUUAUAACUCCAAAGAUAAAGGGAAGGAAAACAUUGAAAAUAAAUAUUAUCACUUCAUUUUAACUACAAACUCACAACACAUAAUGGAAUAAGUUGUGACAACAACAGCUUAGAAGGGGAAGAGGUAAAGGAUGAAACCUGCUUAGACUAAGGGAACAAGAGGCUAUUAGGGAAUGGACUAUCUCAUCUAUGAGAUCUUUCAUUCAAAUUGCACAGUAACCACUAAACAAAAAAUCAGAACAA